UACGGAGGGUGCGAGCGUUGUCCGGAAUCAUUGGGCGUAAAGGGCGCGUAGGUGGCGGGACAAGCGUGCGGUGAAAGCCUGGGGCUCAACCCCGGGCCUGCAGCCGAUACGGGCAAGCUAGAAUUCGGUAGGGGAGACUGGAAUUCCUGGUGUAGCGGUGAAAUGCGCAGAUAUCAGGAGGAACACCGAUUGCGAAGGCAGCUCGCUGGGACGUUACUGACACUGAGACGCGAAAGCGUGGGGAGCAAACAGG
rnacentral:rRNA from 1 species